rnacentral:rRNA from 1 species
GAUGAACGCUGGCGGCGUGCCUAAUACAUGCAAGUCGAGCGAACAGAUGAGGAGCUUGCUCCUCUGACGUUAGCGGCGGACGGGUGAGUAACACGUGGAUAACCUACCUAUAAGACUGGGAUAACUUCGGGAAACCGGAGCUAAUACCGGAUAAUAUAUUGAACCGCAUGGUUCAAUAGUGAAAGACGGUUUUGCUGUCACUUAUAGAUGGAUCCGCGCCGCAUUAGCUAGUUGGUAAGGUAACGGCUUACCAAGGCAACGAUGCGUAGCCGACCUGAGAGGGUGAUCGGCCACACUGGAACUGAGACACGGUCCAGACUCCUACGGGGGGCAGCAGUAGGGAAUCUUCCGCAACGGGCGAAAGCCUGACGGAGCAACGCCGCGUGAGUGAUGAAGGUCUUCGGAUCGUAAAACUCUGUUAUUAGGGAAGAACAAAUGUGUAAGUAACUAUGCACGUCUUGACGGUACCUAAUCAGAAAGCCACGGCUAACUACGUG